ACGUGGCAUGGCGGGCCUGCAAAUAAGUGGUUCCAGGGAAGGUCAUGUGACACCUUUGGGCCAAUGAGAUGCAGGGACAGAUAUGCUGAGGCUUCUGGCAACAUCUUUCCAUGUUCUUACAGGGUUUCUAGAAGAACACCUUUUUCCCUAGAGUUGCUGCUCUGAGUAAGGCUUAGAAUUUCUGCAGCUGUCUUACUACCUGAGGAGGAUGUCGCUAUACAAAGGAACACAGGGCCUUCCCAGGGAAUCCCUGGGAAAUGCAGUGAGGUCACUGAUGGAGUCCACCCUAAAGCUUGCCCUAUAUCUACACUUCUAGUAUGAAAAUCAAAAUACUUUUCCCAUACUGGUUGAACCAAUUUGACGUGAAUUUAUUGUUACCUACAACUCAAGAAACCCUAACUAGCUUAUAGGUAAGAAAAUCUAAGUAAAACCCUGAAAGUUGAGUGCUAUAAGGCAUUAUUAUUUACAGGAGUAACAUCUCUCCUGGCUUUAUGAUGAAGCCAAAUCAUCUUUGGGGGGCACCUCACGGAAUUAUGGAUUGUGGUGUGUGGGUCCUUUUGAUAAUAUCCCUGUCCAGUGGCUAUUUAACACACAGGUGGAUUCUCCCAGCAAUAGGGAUGUCAUCACCUCCUGAGGCAGGACUCAUGGUUGUGUCACUCAGCACAUCACAACGUGGUCAUUCUGGGAUUCAAAAUUUGUACCUGCUUUGUGCUGAGCUCACGUGAAGCAGAGAGAAGGCAGAAAAAUCGGGAAGGUGUAUUUAUUGCUAUUGGUCUGCAUUUUUCCCACAUGGAAAUGGCUGAGCUCAGGCAAGUCAGCUGCUGGUGGGACUGUGGUCUCCCUGUACCUUCCUGUCUUCUCCUUGCUGGCAUUCUCUCUGCAGGGACCUGAGGAAAGUCACAGCUCUUCUUUGGAAGGACACUAGCCAUUUGUCUGGUCUGCAUCUGAGGACUGAGACAUCCCAUGCUAAUAAGGCAAAGUUCCUGCAAACCAGAGCCAGUUGGUCAUGAGAGACAGAGAGAACGACUGGGGGAGUGGCAGGGAGAGAGAGGAGGAGCGAGA